GUCUGAACUGAGUAGAAGAUGUAAUGAUUAAAAUUAAUGGUUAAAGAGUUGAUUAAAGAAGAUGAAAGACAUGGUCCUUUCUGCAGGCAGAGGAACACCAGAUCAACUGGACUUGCUCCUGAGCCUAAGCUGAAGAACUGGGAGUUCUGAGGAAACACUUGUCCACUAAAUUUGUGAUGAAUAUUCAUAUGAACAGAAGAAAAGGCUAUCUCCAGGAAGAUUUACAAGGUCCUACUUGGGAUGCCAGAGAGAAGCAAUGACCUUCCACACCCUUGAAAGCCAACAUAUUCUCCCUGGAUUUUGAAUUGGCCUUCUUAGAGAUGGCGCUACUUUGCUUUCACAAGAAAAUGAGCUUUAUUCUGGGGGUCACAUCAGUUCAGGUUCUUGUCACAUAGAAUUUAAGAAGUCCGAAGAGUCAGAUUUACUUCUGAUCCAAAUUGAA